CGGACAUCUGCGAUCUAUCAUAAGCGUGGAUGUCAGCGUUUACUAUACAGCUGUAUCUAAACGCGGACAUCCGCGCUGCAUAGUGCAUACAUAAUAUAUGCACGAUGCAGCGCCGAUGUCCGUCCGUGUUUCGCGCUCGGGUCGGACGGAGAUUUCUGUUGCAUUGCGCGUUCACUUCCGCUUUUGAUGACGUAUCGUGCUCAGAUGAUUCGUCGACGCGUCGUUAGGUGCAGCCCUAGUCUAAAAUUAAGAGUCGCUUCCAAUCUCGGGGUUACAAUUAGCAUGUCUCAGUUGUUUCCGUGAUGCCAUGUAUGGUGAAUAGUGACCUAAAUCACGAGCAUUUGGAGCAUCUGCGUGACGCUCAUUGGCUGACAUCUGGGCUGGCCGCUGGCGAGAUUUAAUGAAGGCUAUUGUGCAUGCGGGAGGACCUGCCGUUACGCUGUAAAAAAAAUCCUGGUGAGAACCCUGAUACCUGAACUAGAUGAUGGACUGACACAUUUUUUUCAGGCCAGGAAAUCUAAACAAUGAGGCUACUGUAUCUCGGUUGCACUGAGACGUCUUCUUGUCUCCUUCCCUCUGUCAACAAAAAUCCUGCUGAGGGAGACGGACAGGCUACUUCGGGUCUACACAAGAUGAAAGAUCCCAUGGGCUGCUGAUUUCAAGCAAGUUCUUUGGAUUUCUAUCAACACCUCUCAGAAACACAGCCUCAGAGUGUUUCAUUUAGUCCAGAAUAACAAAAGCAGAAUGCAACAUAACUAAGUAUCUGUGUUACAGCAGUAACAACACAUUUGGAGCAAAAACGAAGAAAAGAAGCAGCCGACACUGUUUGAAAAUCUUUCGAGGUGACAGACUGCCAAAUCAGCACUGUCUCCUGUGGUAGCCAGCCACACAUCAAGACCUCAUUCAGUGUUUCUUCAUUACAGUUCAGCUUUCUCCUGAGCCAGGCUGAGCUGUCCUGCCAGCAGGGCAUCAGGAUGCUAACACAGGCACUCUGGCAUGUGAGUAGCACUCACACAGUGCGAAACAUGCCAAGCUCUUUCGCUGACAAUGUCUGCUUUCUCAUAGCUCUGAUACAAUGCAUUACUAUGAUCAACAGUAGGAACAGUGUUCAAAUUUAGAUGAGGCUCACCCCAGUAGCAGGGGGAUGUUAGCUAGAUAUCAUCGUACAAAUUUAAGUUUUCUUUGCUGUCUUGUUUCAAAUAUGGGUUGCUUUGUUUCCUGUAUGUAUUGCUGGAUUAUUUGAGAAGAAAAUACUGUUAACUAUGUAAAUGAGUGAGCCUGGUCUGAAAAUCUCUUAAGCGGUCCUUGCUAACUUACAGCUACACUGUAAAAAAAUUGCUUUUACAGUAAAAUUCUGGCAGCUGUGGUUGCCAGAACGCUACUGUAAAAUCCCGGUAAAACACUUUCCUAAUUUACAGUAAAGACAUGUCUUGAUACUUUUGAGUUUAUGGUUAAAAAUGUGCCUCAUUCCAUAUUUUGCUGUGAAGUUUCAACCUUUAAAGAAAUUUUAGUUUAACAGGAAAAUCUACAUGAAAACACCAUAGAAAAUGAAGUUUGUGGGACCUAUUAUGUAAUAUUACAGUAUGUUUUCCAUUAUCAGCACAACAGUUAGUGUAUUAAAUUUUUAAUAUGUGUAUUUUUAACAAAUAUUGUGGUUAUAACUGUCAUCAAUAUUAAACCGCAUGUCCAUUCAUCAAUUUGACAGGUCCAAACUGUAGUUUUUACAUGAAAUAAAUGCAAUAAUCGGCAUGUUGCUUGUUAUAAAUAUUACAGUAUGCUUACAUUAUCAAUACAAAAUGUGAAAAUUGGUAUUUGUAUUUUUUUGAGAAAUAAAUGCAAAAAUUACAGUGUUGAUGUUA